UUUGUAGGAAAGACUUACGAUGUGUGUCUUCGAAAUAAUUAAAAAUCUGAAUAAUAAGCUUGAAUAAAAUGCCUUUGAGUUUUUUCUCUUUCAUCUAAAACGCAAAUGAGGUUUGUUUUAUUUAAUGAUAACCGGUCGGAAUAAAUUUGACAUUUGUCAAAUCGGCGAACGGUUAUUUAUUGUGGCGGGCUACCAUCGAUCAAAGCUGACAGUUCUGAUCACACAGACGAAUUUCACCGCUAUCUGACUAAAAAGUUUCUUUGGGGGAGAAUCUCCGUGUGAAGUUGUGGUUAUCUAUCCCUGGAGUUACCUAACAUUGCUAUGGCUAGAACGGGCACCUGUUCGAAUCACUAUGUACACGCGUGGACAUCUCCGAACGAGCAAGUAUCUCCCAACAAACGUGUCUCAGUCUAGAUUGAUGUAUUAUGAGAGCCAGGGAGAUUUUGUGCUGUGUUUUCGUGUCUGUGAUUGUUCUUAACUUUCCCGUCUGUCACUCUCUUCCUGUUGUCGUGAACUCUAGGCCAGGAAACAUUUACCACGUCUUUCGAGGACCAAUGUCUGGUUAAGCCAGGAGCCCAGUUGUGAAAACGAAAACUAAUUCUACCUGUGUUGAGAAAUGUGGUGACAAAUAUUACAUGUGCAGUGUUGAAACAUGCCCGGAUGAAGAUGCAGUUUGCAAUCAGUACUGCACUGGUGUUUUUCGUUACUGUUUUAAAACAUGCAGUUUGGAAUCACCAACGCCAUCACCUUUACAAAUACUUCCGGUCAUGCGCAAUGAUACCAGCAUUGCUACUAAGGUUGACAACGAUACGGACUCUCUCAGUCCAACCAUGGGAACAUGGGUAUUUGAUGAAAAGUUGUAUAAAGCAAUGAAGAGAAAUAAUUCAAACUCAGGCAAUAGUUUUCAUGGACAUCUUUACAAUAAGGCGGGAAUGAAUUUAUCUGCCAUUCAAAUUCCAACCAGAAUACACAGUCUACCUCAAAUGCAGUUUGCAAGACUUGCAAGAUGAUAUUCACUUUAUAACAAGACUUUACGACGACAACUAAAAUGAUGUUUCCCUUUCUCAACUUAAAAUUAUAUUAACCACAUGUAUACACAUGUUAUGCAUUGUUGUUAAAUUACAAUUGCAGUCGUUGGUUAUAGUUAGCAGUAGAUGUAAUUUUAGAUAGUGAAAAUCUUAUUACAAUUGGUAGAAUACACGAAUGUUAUUUUAGGUACCGAAAAAAAACUUAUUACAUUUGGUAAUUGCUGUCAAUUUAGAUAAUGAAAAUCUUAUAAAUACAGUUACUUCUAGAUGAUACUUGUAUUUUAGAUACUGAAAGUUUUACAAAUUGUCAUUUUGAUUCAAACCAAGAUAACCAGUUACUGUAGUACAAAGAAAUCCAUGUAUAUGUUUAUUUUAUCUAUUAAAUAUUAUUAAAACAAUAACACAAUA